GAUGAACGCUGGCGGCGUGCCUAAUACAUGCAAGUCGAGCGAACAGACGAGGAGCUUGCUCCUCUGACGUUAGCGGCGGACGGGUGAGUAACACGUGGAUAACCUACCUAUAAGACUGGGAUAACUUCGGGAAACCGGAGCUAAUACCGGAUAAUAUAUUGAACCGCAUGGUUCAAUAGUGAAAGACGGUUUUGCGGUCACUUAUAGAUGGAUCCGCGCCGGAUUAGCUAGUUGGUAAGGUAACGGCUUAUCAAGGCAACGAUGCGUAGCCGACCUGAGGGGGUGAUAGGCCGCACUGGAACUGAGACACGGUCCAGACUCCUACGGGAGGCAGCAGUAGGGAAUCUUCCGCAAUGGGCGGAAGCCUGACGGAGCGACGCCGCGUGAGUGAUGAAGGUCCUCGGAUCGUAAAACUCUGUUAUUAGGGAAGAACAAAUGUGUAAGUAACUAUGCACGUAUUGACGGUACCUAAUCAGAAAGCCACGGCUAACUACGUG
rnacentral:rRNA from 1 species